GUAGAGCGUAGCGCUUGUAACCCCAUGGAAGCGGGUUCGGUCCCCGAGGCUGCCCACGUAAAAUGUAUGCAAGCAUGACAAACCAAGCAAACUGCUCGCAAAUCCACCCGUGGCAAAGCCUACAGGAUGCAGCUCGCCGCCAAGGCCCAACUGCUAAGGGCCUCUACACUUUCUGUGCCACGUACAGGUGCCCGAGAGCUGUGGCUGCACCAAGGGCUAACCUAUUGUG